rnacentral:rRNA from 1 species
AACGAACGCUGGCGGCAUGCCUAACACAUGCAAGUCGAACGAGACCUUCGGGUCUAGUGGCGCACGGGUGCGUAACGCGUGGGAACCUGCCCUUAGGUUCGGAAUAACUCCCCGAAAGGGGUGCUAAUACCGGAUAAUGUCUUCGGACCAAAGAUUUAUCGCCUUUGGAUGGGCCCGCGUUGGAUUAGCUAGUUGGUAGGGUAAAAGCCUACCAAGGCGACGAUCCAUAGCUGGUCUGAGAGGAUGAUCAGCCACACUGGGACUGAGACACGGCCCAGACUCCGACGGGAGGCAGCAGUGGGGAAUAUUGGACAAUGGGCGAAAGCCUGAUCCAGCAAUGCCGCGUGAGUGAUGAAGGCCCUAGGGUUGUAAAGCUCUUUUACCCGGGAUGAUAAUGACAGUACCGGGAGAAUAAGCUCCGGCUAACUCCGU